UGGCAACCAGCUUUUCCAGCUCCUCAUGCUUGUCCAAGUUUCCUGCACAUAAAACAAAUGGGAAAUUCAAAACUACUUCAGUUCUGACUCAAAACAAUCAUGCUAAAUUCAGUCCAGACAGCAGCAUUUACUUAAAGUGGCAACACUUCUUCUCAAUCAACAUAAAGUCACAAGCAGCAGUGCAAUCCAAUGUAUCCAUCCAUACCAGGCUCAUGUCAUCAUGCACAAAGGAAAAGUAAGUGACUGCUUGAAUGGAUAAGACAAGAAUGUCAAACUAACUGUGGCAGCAA